rnacentral:rRNA from 1 species
CCUACGGAGGGCAGCAGUGGGGGAUAUUGCACAAUGGGGGAAACCCUGAUGCAGCGACGCCGCGUGAGGGAUGAAGUAUUUCGGUAUGUAAAGCUCUAUCAGCAGGGAAGAAAAUGACGGUACCUGACUAAGAAGCCCCGGCUAACUACGUGCCAGCAGCCGCGGUACUACGUAGGGGGCAAGCGUUAUCCGGAUUGACUGGGUGUAAAGGGAGCGUAGGCGGCGAUGCAAGUCUGAAGUGAAAGGCGGGGGCUCAACCUCCGGACUGCUUUGGAAACUGUAUGGCUGGAGUGCAGGAGAGGUAAGUGGAAUUCCUAGUGUAGCGGUGAAAGGCGUAGAUAUUAGGAGGAACACCAGUGGCGAAGGCGGCUUACUGGACUGUAACUGACGUUGAGGCUCGAAAGCGUGGGGAGCAAACAGGAUUAGAUACCCCAGUAGUC